GGCUAUGUUGGUUUGGAGAAGGAAAGUUAGUCAAGGGGCUUUUGAAAGAGUUGUGUCAAAGUAUAUGCCAUGGGCCUUGUAGGGUAAACUGAUAAAUAUAUAUAUCGUUUUUUUAAACCAAGUUUUUCCUCUUAAUUAGGUGGCUUUUCUACAAUAUAAAGAUGGAAAUGGGAAGAAGAUGUUCAUUGCAAAUUAAGGAAGCUCUUCCACGAGUUCACGAAUGGAAAUAACAUCAAGAGUUUUUCAUCUUCUUAGUGUGCAAGGUAUGGAUAUUCUGUGUGUGAACUUCAAGAGUAUCUAAGGGAGGCAAUAACAUGGUUGAUAAUAUACCAGAGACUACAAACUGUCUGUGCAUCCCAGAGGAACAGGAAGCUUGUGCAGGUGAAAAGACUGGAGGAGGAAGUAUGUUGAUGAUACCCAGGAAGCCCACCUUCCACUUCUUUGGUCAUCAGAAGUAAGAAAAAGGACAAUUAAAUAAGUGGUUAAUAGUUGUUUAGAGAAAGAGAAUUUUCACUUUAUAUGCCAGUCAUUGAUAAUAUUUGCCAUAGUGGUUGCUGUUAAGUAAGUUUCUUCCUGCAGGCCUGUGAGAAGGCAUAGUACAUGAAAGUAGCAGUGCUUUCAACCUGAUUAUUAUUAUACAGUAUGGACUUUUAUUAUAUAACAAGCAAUACUUACAUUUUGUUAUUUACUUAUUUAUUACUAUACACUUACACAUAUGCAGACACAGUAAUAAACAUCUAAGUGGUACAAAUAGGUACAAAACCAAAAAUAAAAGUCUGCCUUCUAACUUCAGUAAGAUGUUUCAGUCUCAUCCUGGGUUCUACUGCCUUUAAUAUGCAAUCAGCCACACUUCCCAAGGGGCUUUAGUCCCUUUUGUUAAAAAAUAGUAAUAAAGAUCAAAUCUAGGGGAUAGAAGUAGAGAUUUUAGUAUUUUAUAUGAGAAUUGGGGAUGCAGCAUGCUAAUGAAGCCACCUGAGUUACAGGGCAGACUAUUACUUUUCUUUUUAAAUAACAGGUAACAAUUCUAUAUUGUUAUUUUCAAUUUAACCAAGUUUUUAUUUUAGCACUGAGAGUUUUUAAUCUGAUUUCUCCUUCCUCUGGUAGAUUUGAGGUUAUUUAUUGUCACACCAAAUAGCAUUUUGUCUCCUAUAUUUAGAAGUCUUUUGUUUUUUUUUUUUUUUUUG
rnacentral:lncRNA from 10 species